UACGAAGGGGGCUAGCGUUGCUCGGAAUUACUGGGCGUAAAGCGCACGUAGGCGGUCUUUUAAGUCGGGGGUGAAAUCCUGGAGCUCAACUCCAGAACUGCCUUCGAUACUGGAAGACUUGAGUCCGGAAGAGGUGAGUGGAAUUCCGAGUGUAGAGGUGAAAUUCGUAGAUAUUCGGAGGAACACCAGUGGCGAAGGCGGCUCACUGGUCCGGUACUGACGCUGAGGUGCG
rnacentral:rRNA from 1 species